CACGUAGGGCGCAAGCGUUGUUCGGAAUUACUGGGCGUAAAGCGCGCGUAGGCGGCUUUGUAAGUUAGAGGUGAAAGCCCGGAGCUCAACUCCGGAACUGCCUUUAAGACUGCAUCGCUAGAAUUGUGGAGAGGUGAGUGGAAUUCCGAGUGUAGAGGUGAAAUUCGUAGAUAUUCGGAAGAACACCAGUGGCGAAGGCGACUCACUGGACACAUAUUGACGCUGAGGAGCGAAAGCGUGGGGAGCGAACAGG
rnacentral:rRNA from 1 species